rnacentral:rRNA from 1 species
CGGAUUAGCGGCGGACGGGUGAGUAACACGUGAGUAACCUGCCUUAGACAUUGGGAUAGCCUCGGGAAACCGGGAUUAAUACCAAAUAAAAUCAUAAUGACACAUGUCAUAACGAUCAAAACUCCGGUGGUCUAAGAUGGACUCGCGUCCCAUUAGCUAGUUGGUAGAGUAAAAGCCUACCAAGGCGACGAUGGGUAGCCGGCCUGAGAGGGUGAACGGCCACAUUGGAACUGAGAAACGGCCCAA